GCCUGGGUGGCUCCGUCGGUUGAGCGUCCGACUUCGGCUCAGGUCGUGAUCUCACUGUUCGUGAGUUCGAGCCCCACCUCGGGCU
rfam:Felis catus isolate Cinnamon breed Abyssinian chromosome E3, whole genome shotgun sequence.